rnacentral:tRNA from 1 species
GGGCAGGUACCCAAGUGGCCAAAGGGGACUGACUGUAAAUCAGUUGGCUGACGCCUUCGGGGGUUCGAAUCCUCCCCUGCCCACCU